GACAAACAUCUCCCCAUUUCCCUGUCCCUUGCUUGUUUGUAACAGAGUCUCACACCAGAGCCUUGUGGGACCCUGCAUCUGCUCCUAUUCUAGAGAACAGAAAUGGGCAGGGCUCAGGGACAGGAACACUUAAGGGACACGUAAAGGAAAAGACAAAGAUCUGCUUGUCUUCCUCAGUGACUGAGAUCACGGGAACUGGAGGUUCCCAGAGGACACAAUUUACAAACUGGGAAAGGAUGCUGCUGCCUGGCUAGUCCCAAAUUUAUAGUGCUUCGGACAAUGAUGCCAUGUGCUAUGUUCUAUAGAAGAAAUCUGUGGAUUCAUUUAAAGAAGCUGCUGGCUCCAUCCUGUGCUUCAUGGUUCGUUCCGUGAUACUUUCUUCCUGACCAUCUCUUCCGUCAGCUGUGUUAAGCCUUCCAGAUGCUUCCAGUGCCCAAGCUAUGGCACUGCAGUCCCUGCAGGACUCCGACCUCGAAAAGCAGCAAAGGGUUUCCCUCUUUUACAAAUCCAGAAACACAUUCAUUAAUCUUCCCUAAGAGCCUCAGUGUGGAAAAGCUUUACUCCAAAUUGCAACAGCCUUAUUAUCUUCAAAAAAAAAAAAAUCUAGUAAUAAAUGUAGUAUCAAAAAU
rnacentral:lncRNA from 1 species